AAGAAAAGUAGUUGAAAAUGACAACCUUAACGUUAAUAAUAUGCCUAAAUCAAAUGGACUCCACUAUAAGCAAAUUGGAAAACGACGUCGUUUGUUUUUUUUUUGAAAAUUUUUUAAAGCGUCGUCAACCUCCGUCGGAUCGGGUUUUUCCCAAAUUAAUCGGGGCACUUGAAAGCGGCGCGACGAAUAAGAAUCUACCAAACUCCUUUCGCCGCCGUCGGGUCCACCUCCGCCGGCGACUCAACCUUGUUUCGGUUCGGGACUCUAGCCAACCUCCUCUCUCGCUCUUUGGUGUAUGCGUUUAGUUCGAAGAUCAGGAUCAGGAUUUUCUUUUCAAUCAAUCUCCUCAGCAUUCAAUGAAAGUGGGCCUAAAUUUGAUGAUGAUAUGAUAUUCCACAAAAGCAAAAUAAAAUGGAACGAAAUUUCCGAACAAUAUUUUCUGGCUGAGUCGCGGACAAAGUCGCUCUCUUUAAGACGUUUCGCGGCUCUGCCCCAAGUGUGCACGACAGUCUAUCAACCACGCCGUCCCCAGGAUAAAACAGCCUGUGUACGAAUCCUCCCUAAAUCAGAGGAGGAUUAAAUGGCUGAAACGUUUAUCUUAAUUAAAAUAAAAACCGUUUUUGUUUUAUUAAAGUGAACGUUUAAAAUUUAAAUAAAAGAGGAUAAACGUUUAGAUACCUUGUUUAAAAAAAUAAAACUUAAAUACGACACCACAUACCAGCUCAGCUCGGACGGCGGCGGCACGCGUGGUGGUCAAGUGUGUGAGUCUUCACCUAUUCGCACAAAAUUGGGUACCCCUUGGAGCACACCCCAAGUCAUUGCAUUUGCAAUAUAAAUACACUCUAUGAAGAGUGUUCCAAAUCCAUGUGGGACUUUUCCCAUAUCACACACAACUCUAAUGUAUCAUUUUUUUUUAAUAAUUCAUUUAAAAGGUUCCAACAUGAUAAAACAUUUUAGAAUAUUUAGUAUUUGAA